GGGCCUGACUCUUUGCUCGGC
rnacentral:miRNA from 1 species